GCUUGCUACCCUCCCAUUCAUUUGGCAAGUGCCUGAACAAUGUUGGAGGUCUAGACAAGGCACUCUCAUUUUAUCCUGAGUGUAUCAAGGAUUCUAAUGAAGCACCCAAAUGGUGGGAUCAUUUGCAUUGCGCAAUGUCACAUUACAAGUUUGUCCUUGCGAUUGAGAACACCAAGACAGAAAGUUAUGUAACAGAGAAGUUAUUUUACGCACUGGACUCUGG
rnacentral:misc_RNA from 1 species